GUGUGACUUUUUCAGAAGGUGAGUUACGCGUUCCGGGCAGUCAGUGCACUGCUCAGCAGGAGGAGGUCCUGCAGGUGGUGCUGCAAGGGGUCGGCUGGCCGCAGGGGGACUGCACAGACACAGGCUGGCAGCAGGUGGUGGCUCAGCAGGAGGAGGUCCUGCAGGUGGUGCUGCAAGGGGUCGGCUGGCCGCAGGGAGGCCGGCAGCAGGGGGACUGCACAGACACAGGCUGGCAGCAGGUGGUGCUGCAAGGGGUCGGCUGGCCGCAGGGGGGCCGGCAGCAGGGGGACUGCACAGACACAGGCUGGCAGCAGGUGGUGGCCCAGCAGCAGGGCCUGCACACC
rnacentral:lncRNA from 1 species